UACAGAGGGUGCAAGCGUUGUUCGGAAUUAUUGGGCGUAAAGCGCGUGUAGGCGGCCGAUUAAGUCUGGUGUGAAAGCCCGGGGCUCACCCCCGGAAGUGCGCUGGAAACUGGUCGGCUAGAGUAUGGGAGAGGAAAGUGGAAUUCCCGGUGUAGCGGUGAAAUGCGUAGAUAUCAGGAGGAACACCGGUGGCGAAGGCGGAUCUCUGGGCCAUUACUGACGCUGAGGAGCGAAAGCGUGGGGAGCGAACAGG
rnacentral:rRNA from 1 species